rnacentral:piRNA from 1 species
AAGCCACUAUCAUCAAAUAAUUGCUGUA